AUGAUCCUGCAAGCAAGCAAUUGCAAGCAGCAGAGGAUCUAUCAAGAAUUAAUGCCUAUGCAGCUGUGUCAUCCUUGCCUUGCUGUGUAUGGCAUUCUUUUGCUUCUUUGUUGGCCAUUCGCUUGUGCCCAUGCUUAUGCAUCUCAGAGCCGGCUUGUCCCUGGCAAGCCGCUCUCCCCUGGGAGUGUCGUCGUCUCCCAAGAUGGGGUGUUUGCCCUGGGAUUCUUCUCCACCGAUGGGGAUGGGGAGAAGCGGCAGCGCCACUAUGUGGGCAUAUGGUACAACAGCAUCCCGGAGCGCACCGUGGUAUGGGUUUCUAACCGUGCGGCGCCCAUCACCACUAACCUUUCCUCUGCAAAUCUUGCGGUGACCAGCAGCUCCGGCAUAGUGCUGUCUGAUAGCGAUGGCCGUGCCGUGUGGACAACCAACAAGAGCAUCAGCAUCAGCGCGAGCGCGAGCGCGAGCACGGUGGAAGCAGUGUUGGACAACACCGACAACUUCAUCCUUCGGUCGUUGGCCGACAGUGCCAUACUAUGGCAAAGCUUCGACCACCCUACCGACACCCUCCUCCCCGGCAUGAACCUGAGGCUGAGCCACAAGACGCUCCCACUGCAGCACCUCGUGUCGUGGAAAGGGCAGCAGGACCCAUCCCCCGGCGAGUUCUCGUACGGCGCGGACCCUAGCAACCUCCUCCGGUGCUUCGCCUGGAACGGGUCGAGGCCACACCGGCGAAGCCCGGUGUGGACAAGCCACCUCUACAUGGGCGGAUUCAACGAGUCGGCCAUUUACAUGGCCUUGCAUCACGCCGGCGACGAGGUGUACAUGUCCUUCGGCAUGCCGGCUGGCUCCUUCGUCCAGCUGGUGAGGUUGGAGAUCGACUACUCAGGCAAGGUAAAUAUACUAAGCUGGCAGAGCAACAUGUCCGCAUGGAGGGCCCUGUACGCAGAGCCUCAACAUGAGUGCAAUACGUACGGCUACUGCGGUCCUUAUGGUUACUGCGACAACACACAAAUCGUCCCGGUUUGCAAGUGCCUUGACGGUUUUGAACCGAGGGAUGCUAAAGGAUGGAUCUCCGGUAGCUUCUCACAGGGAUGCCGCCCCAAGGAGGUGCCAAGGUGCACCCAUGGAGACAGUUUCUUGGCCUUUCCGGGCAUGAAGGUCCCGGACAAGUUCCUUCGUGUCCCGAGCAGAAGCUUUGAUGAGUGCACCGAGGAAUGCAGAAGCAAUUGCUCCUGCGUGGCAUAUGCUUACUCCAAGAUGAGCAACAUAGAUAUUGACGGGGAUGACACAAGAUGCCUGUUAUGGAUAGGCGAUUUUAUCGACAUGGAGAACAACCAUCAAGGAGGGGAGAACCUCUAUGUUCGGACUAAAAGAUUGCCGCCGCACCCCCCCUAG
rnacentral:rRNA from 1 species